rnacentral:lncRNA from 1 species
GUAUAAUCAGAGCUUCCUGAAUGUUUUCUCAAAGGGUGCUUAGCACCACUCUCAGCAUUCCUGGGCCAGAAACAUACCUCUAAUGUAAAAACAAAAGCCAUUCCAUCUCCUGGAAGAAGCUGUUGGAAAGGAUGAAUAUGGAUCAAUUCUCUACCCCUUACACUCAUUUUGGCCUGCCAAUUAAAACCAAGAAAACAGAGGUUCUCCACCAACCAACAUUAUACCAAUCCAUACAUGGAAGCAUUGAUGACAGCAAAUGGAGAAAUUUGGAAAGUGUGGGAGAGAAGAGGUAUCGAUCGGGCUGCCUAUAAAAAUGGAAGUCUACAGAGCCAUGAUGCUGACCUCAUUGUUGCAUAGAGGAUGGUCAUUAAAAAGCAUAGCUGACAAGGUGUACAUAAAGAACUUCCAGUGCAGUGGAGCAGCUCAACCUGCCUGUGAAGGUCCAUUUCAAGUAUUGUUAACAGCUAUCAAAAUUGGAGAAAAGGACUCUUGGAUUCAUUACUCACAGGUAAAACAAGUUCCUUCUAUUGACACUGAUUGACUAUAUCCUGUCACAUGCAUUGGAGAUAAAAGUCCAUAGACAAGUGGACACUGUUUUAGCUGACACUUUGAAUUCCCGAAUCUUUCUCUUUUUUUUGCUUUUCUGUUUAUUUUCAAUAAGGAUAUUUUAUUUUUUCUCUUUCUUCUUUUACUUGAAGUACAUGUAAUCAGUAUUAAUGUUUUUUUUAAUUUUUAAUUAUAAGCUUGCAAUAUCUAUUAGCUAUAAUAUUAAUACAUACCCCAAAAGCUUUAGACUAUGGAAACCUACCAUUGAUUGUUAAAUGUUGUGGGACUUUGAUUAAUAAUUGUGUCUGAUUCCAGAAGAAGGGAUUGCAAAAGAGCCAUUGUACAAUGCCAAGAAGCACAAGGUCAAGAAGACAAACAAUCCUUGUGAGAUUAAUGAAAUCUGUACCAAAAGAGAGGGCUUGUUUGAGGUUCAAGAGAACAGUCCUUUGGCAUAUGUCAGACACAGUUCUUUCCCAUGCCACAUUCUGACAAGUACCUUAGUUUGGCUGUCAUUUUGGUUCCCCUAUACCUGAGAGUGAAGGUAAAAUCAGACCAGGGAAACAUACUUCCCUUUUACAUCAAAAUCUAAUUCCUUUUUUCUCUCUUAUAGUAUGGCAAAUUUCUGUAGUCAUGGCUGACAAUGG